rnacentral:rRNA from 1 species
UGGGGAAUAUUGGACAAUGGGGGGAACCCUGAUCCAGCCAUGCCGCGUGUGUGAAGAAGGCCUUAUGGUUGUAAAGCACUUUAAGCGAGGAGGAGGGUACUGGUAUUAAUACUACCAGGUACUGGACGUUACUCGCAGAAUAAGCACCGGCUAACUCUGUGCCAGCAGCCGCGGUAAUACAGAGGGUGCGAGCGUUAAUCGGAUUUACUGGGCGUAAAGCGUGCGUAGGCGGCUAAUUGAGUCGGAUGUGAAAUCCCCGAGCUUAACUUGGGAAUUGCAUUCGAUACUGGUUAGCUAGAGUGUGGGAGAGGAUGGUAGAAUUCCAGGUGUAGCGGUGAAAUGCGUAGAGAUCUGGAGGAAUACCGAUGGCGAAGGCAGCCAUCUGGCCUAACACUGACGCUGAGGUGCGAAAGCGUGGGGAGCAAACAGG